AGUGAACGCUGGCGGUAGGCCUAACACAUGCAAGUCGAACGGCAGCACAGUAAGCGCUUGCUCUUACGGGUGGCGAGUGGCGGACGGGUGAGGAAUACAUCGCAAUCUACUUUUUCGUGGGGGAUAACGUAGGGAAACUUACGCUAAUACCGUAUAUGACCUACGGGUUAAAGCAGGAGAUAUUCGCACUUUUGCCGUUUCAAUGAGCCGGUGUCGAAUUAGCUAGUUGGCGGGGUAAAGGCCCACCAAGGCGACGCUGCGUAGCUGGUCUGAGAGGAUGAUCAGCCACACUGGAACUGAGACACGGUCCAGACUCCUACGGGAGGCAGCAGUAGGGAAUAUUGGGCAAUGGGCGCAAGCCUGAUGCAGCCAUGCCGCGUGGGUGAAGAAGGCCUUCGGAUUGUAAAGCUCUUUUGUUAGGGAAGAAAAGCAGUAUAUGAAUACCCCGCCGUUCUGACGGUACCCAAAGAGUAAGCACCGGCUAACUUCGUG
rnacentral:rRNA from 1 species